CUACGGGGGGCAGCAGUUAAGAAUCUUCCGCAAUGGACGAAAGUCUGACGGAGCGACGCCGCGUGGGUGAAGAAGGCCGAGAGGUUGUAAAGCCCUUUUCUGCUUGAGGAAUAAGCCUGGUAGGGAAUGACCGGGUGAUGACGGUAGGGCAGGAAUAAGCCCCGGCUAAUUACGUGCCAGCAGCCGCGGGUAACACGUAUGGGGCGAGCGUUGUUCGGAAUCAUUGGGCGUAAAGGGCGUGUAGGCGGAAAUGCAAGUCUGGUGUGAAAGACCGCAGCUCAACUGCGGGGACGCGCUGGAAACUGCAUAUCUGGAGUUCCGGAGGGGGAGUUGGAAUUCCUGGUGUAGGGGUGAAAUCUGUUGAUAUCAGGAAGAACAUCGGUGGCGAAGGCGAACUCCUGGACGAGAACUGACGCUGAGGCGCGAAAGCGUGGGGAGCGAACAGGAUUAGAUACCCCUGUAGUC
rnacentral:rRNA from 1 species